rnacentral:rRNA from 1 species
UACGUAGGGGUCUAGCGUUGUCCGGAAUCAUUGGGCGUAAAGAGCUCGUAGGCGGUUCGGCAAGUCGGAUGUGAAAUCUCACGCUCAACGUGGAGGGCCAUUCGAAACUGCCGUGACUGAGUCCGGUAGGGAGUUCGGAAUUCCGGUGUAGCGGUGAAUGACGCAGAUAUGGGAAGGAACACCAGUGGCGAAGGCGGAACUCUGGGCCG